UAUAUAGAUAAUGUGCCUUUUAGUCUGGGAUAGCCAUUGGAAACGAUGAUUAAUACUAGAUACUCCUUCUUACUCUAAUGUAAGUUGGGAAAGUUUUUCGCUAAAAGAUCAGUCUAUAUCCCAUCAGUUAGUUGGUAAGGUAACGGCUUACCAAGGCAAUGACGGGUAGCGGGUUUGAGAGGAUGAUCCGCCACACUGGUACUGAGACACGGACCAGACUCCUACGGGAGCAGCAGUGAGGAAUAUUGCACAAUGGGGGAAACCCUGAUGCAGCAACGCCGCGUGGAGGAUGACGCAUUUCGGUGUGUAAACUCCUUUUAUAUGUACAAGAAAAUGACGGUAGCAUAUGAAUAAGCACCGGCUAACUCCGUGCCAGCGGGCUGCGG
rnacentral:rRNA from 1 species